AGUGAACGCUGGCGGUAGGCCUAACACAUGCAAGUCGAACGGCAGCACAGUAAGAGCUUGCUCUUACGGGUGGCGAGUGGCGGACGGGUGAGGAAUACAUCGGAAUCUACUUUUUCGUGGGGGAUAACGUAGGUAAACUUACGCUAAUACCGCAUACGACCUACGGGUGAAAGCAGGGGUUCUUCGGACCUUGCGCGUUUGAAUGAGCCGAUUUCGGAUUAGCUUGUUGGCGGGGUAAAGGCCCACCAAGGCGACGAUCCGUAGCUGGUCUGAGAGGAUGAUCAGCGACACGGGAACGGAGACACGGACAAGAGACCUACGGGAGGCAGCAGUGGGGAAUAUUGGACAAGGGGCGCAAGCAUGAUACAGCAAUACCGCGUGGGUGAAGAAGGCCUUCGGGUUGUAAAGACCUUUUGUUGGGAAAGAAAAGCAGCAGGAUAAUACCCCGAUGUUGUGACGGUACCCAAAGAAUAAGCACCGGCUAACUACGUG
rnacentral:rRNA from 1 species